rnacentral:rRNA from 1 species
AGAUUGAACGCUGGCGGCAUGCUUUACACAUGCAAGUCGAACGGCAACAGGCCGCAAGGUGCUGACGAGUGGCGAACGGGUGAGUAAUGUAUCGGAACGUGCCCAGUCGUGGGGGAUAACGCAGCGAAAGCUGCGCUAAUACCGCAUACGAUCUAUGGAUGAAAGCGGGGGACCGUAAGGCCUCGCGCGAUUGGAGCGGCCGAUAUCAGAUUAGGUAGUUGGUGGGGUAAAGGCUCACCAAGCCAACGAUCUGUAGC